AACCUCCGCAAUGUGAGAAAUCGCGACGGGGGGAUCCCAAGUGCCAUUCUUAACGGGAUGGCUUUUCUUAAGUGUAAAAAGCUUUUGGAAUAAGAGCUGGGCAAGACCGGUGCCAGCCGCCGCGGUAACACCGGCAGCUCUAGUGGUAGCUGUUUUUAUUGGGCCUAAAGCGUUCGUAGCCGGUUUGAUAAGUCACUGGUGAAAUCCUGUAGCUUAACUGUGGGAAUUGCUGGUGAUACUGUUGAACUUGAGGUCGGGAGAGGUUAGCGGUACUCCCAGGGUAGAGGUGAAAUUCUGUAAUCCUGGGAGGACCACCUGUGGCGAAGGCGGCUAACUGGAACGAACCUGACGGUGAGGGACGAAAGCUAGGGGCGCGGACCGGAUUAGAUACCCGGGUAGUCCUAGCCGUAAACGAUGCGGACUUGGUGUUGGGAUGGCUUUGAGCCGCUCCGGUGCCGAAGGAGCUGUAAGUCGCCGCCUGGGAGUACGGUCGCAAGACUGAAACUUAAAGGAAUU
rnacentral:rRNA from 1 species